rnacentral:rRNA from 1 species
AGACCCGAAACCCGGUGAUCUAGCCAUGGGCAGGUUGAAGGUUGGGUAACACUAACUGGAGGACCGAACCGACUAAUGUUGAAAAAUUAGCGGAUGACCUGUGGCUGGGGGUGAAAGGCCAAUCAAACCGGGAGAUAGCUGGUUCUCCCCGAAAGCUAUUUAGGUAGCGCCUCGUGAAUUCAUCUCCGGGGGUAGAGCACUGUUUCGGCUAGGGGGCCAUCCCGGCUUACCAACCCGAUGCAAACUGCGAAUACCGGAGAAUGUUAUCACGGGAGACACACGGCGGGUGCUAACGUCCGUCGUGAAGAGGGAAACAACCCAGACCGCCAGCUAAGGUCCCAAAGUCAUGGUUAAGUGGGAAACGAUGUGGGAAGGCCCAGACAGCCAGGAUGUUGGCUUAGAAGCAGCCAUCAUUUAAAGAAAGCGUAAUAGCUCACUGGUCGAGUCGGCCUGCGCGGAAGAUGUAACGGGGCUAAACCAUGCACCGAAGCUGCGGCAGCGACACUCAGGUGUUGUUGGGUAGGGGAGCGUUCUGUAAGCCUGCGAAGGUGGCCUGUGAGGGUUGCUGGAGGUAUCAGAAGUGCGAAUGCUGACAUAAGUAACGAUAAAGCGGGUGAAAAGCCCGCUCGCCGGAAGACCAAGGGUUCCUGUCCAACGUUAAUCGGGGCAGGGUGAGUCGACCCCUAAGGCGAGGCCGAAAGGCGUAGUCGAUGGGAAACGGGUUAAUAUUCCCGUACUUGGUGUUACUGCGAAGGGGGGACGGAGAAGGCUAUGUUGGCCGGGCGACGGUUGUCCCGGUUUAAGCGUGUAGGUGUGUGUUCCAGGUAAAUCCGGUUCACUUUAACACUGAGGUGUGACGACGAGGCACUACGGUGCUGAAGCAACAAAUGCCCUGCUUCCAGGAAAAGCCUCUAAGCAUCAGGUAACAUCAAAUCGUACCCCAAACCGACACAGGUGGUCAGGUAGAGAAUACCAAGGCGCUUGAGAGAACUCGGGUGAAGGAACUAGGCAAAAUGGUGCCGUAACUUCGGGAGAAGGCACGCUGACACGUAGGUGAAGUGAUUUACUCAUGGAGCUGAAGUCAGUCGAAGAUACCAGCUGGCUGCAACUGUUUAUUAAAAACACAGCACUGUGCAAACACGAAAGUGGACGUAUACGGUGUGACGCCUGCCCGGUGCCGGAAGGUUAAUUGAUGGGGUCAGCGCAAGCGAAGCUCCUGAUCGAAGCCCCGGUAAACGGCGGCCGUAACUAUAACGGUCCUAAGGUAGCGAAAUUCCUUGUCGGGUAAGUUCCGACCUGCACGAAUGGCGUAAUGAUGGCCAGGCUGUCUCCACCCGAGACUCAGUGAAAUUGAACUCGCUGUGAAGAUGCAGUGUACCCGCGGCAAGACGGAAAGACCCCGUGAACCUUUACUAUAGCUUGACACUGAACAUUGAGCCUUGAUGUGUAGGAUAGGUGGGAGGCUUUGAAGUGUGG